UGGGGACACGACGGUUCCUCUGUCUCUGCAGAGGCUGUGUGAAGUUGUUCAGUGUUUGCAAAGCCGUGUGGGGAGGGACAUUCCCACCCUCUGCCAGGCAGAGGAGCAUGAAGAGGCUCUCAGUGUGAGGAGGCUGGGCUAUAAAAAGAUGUUCAGUUGGAGUGGAGUGGGAGAGCAGUGAGGGCUCUGGAGAUUGGGCUCCCAUGUUUGAGAGGCAGCCCUGAGACUACCAGGCAGCAGAAGCUGUUCUCUGAAGGAGAAUGGAGGAAUCUGGGCACAUCAGCUGUCUGGCCUGGAAGCAGCUGGCGGGUUUUCAAACACACGGACGUCUUUCCAGUUUUCGAAGAAGCUGUGUGUGGGUUGGAAGGAGAGCAGACUGCCUCCGCCUGAUGGAUGAGCUUCGGAAAUUCUGCCCUUGUUUUUAGAUAUUUUCAAAUAUUUGGAGAGCAAUAUCAAAAUAAAUGGCUGACAAAA